rnacentral:rRNA from 1 species
GAGUUUGAUCAUGGCUCAGGACCAUUAAAGCGGCAGGCUUAACACAUGCAAGUCGAGGGGUAACGUGGAAGCUUGCUUCCGCCGACGACCGGCGCACGGGUGCGUAACGCGUAUACAAUCUACCUUGUACUGGGGUAUAGCCUUUAGAAAUGAAGAUUAACCCCCCAUAGUCUCUUAGAGUGGCAUCACUUCUAGAGUAAAGGUUACGGUAUAAGAUGAGUAUGCGUUCUAUUAGUUUGUUGGUGUGGUAACGGCACACCAAGACUACGAUAGAUAGGGGCCCUGAGAGGGGGAUCCCCCACACUGGUACUGAGACACGGACCAGACUCCUACGGGAGGCAGCAGUGAGGAAUAUUGGACAAUGGAGGCAACUCUGAUCCAGCCAUGCCGCGUGCAGGAAGACUGCCCUAUGGGUUGUAAACUGCUUUUAUACAGGAAGAAACACCUCUACGUGUAGAGGCUUGACGGUACUGUAAGAAUAAGGAUCGGCUAACUCCGUGCCAGCAGCCGCGGUAAUACGGAGGAUCCAAGCGUUAUCCGGAAUCAUUGGGUUUAAAGGGUCCGUAGGUGGAUAAUUAAGUCAGAGGUGAAAUCUUGCAGCUCAACUGUAAAAUUGCCUUUGAAACUGGUUAUCUUGAGUUAUUAUGAAGUAGUUAGAAUUUGUAGUGUAGCGGUGAAAUGCAUAGAUAUUACAUAGAAUACCAUUUGCGAAGGCAGAUUACUAAUAAUCAACUGACACUGAUGGACGAAAGCGUGGGUAGCGAACAGGAUUAGAUACCCUGGUAGUCCACGCCGUAAACGAUGGUUACUAGCUGUUUGGACUUCGGUCUGAGUGGCUAAGCGAAAGUGAUAAGUAACCCACCUGGGGAGUACGUUCGCAAGAAUGAAACUCAAAGGGAUUGACGGGGGCCCGCACAAGCGGUGGAGCAUGUGGUUUAAUUCGAUGAUACGCGAGGAACCUUACCAGGGCUUAAAUGUAAGUUGCAUUAGUUAGAGAUAGCUAUUUCUUCGGACCACUUACAAGGUGCUGCAUGGUUGUCGUCAGCUCGUGCCGUGAGGUGUCAGGUUAAGUCCUAUAACGAGCGCAACCCCUGUUGUUAGUUGCCAGCGAGUCAUGUCGGGAACUCUAGCAAGACUGCCAGUGCAAACUGUGAGGAAGGUGGGGAUGACGUCAAAUCAUCACGGCCCUUACGUCCUGGGCUACACACGUGCUACAAUGGUAGGUACAGAGAGCAGCCACUGCGCGAGCAGGAGCGAAUCUAUAAAACCUAUCACAGUUCGGAUCGGAGUCUGCGACUCGACUCCGUGAAGCUGGAAUCGCUAGUAAUCGGAUAUCAGCCAUGAUCCGGUGAAUACGUUCCCGGGCCUUGUACACACCGCCCGUCAAGCCAUGGAAGUUGGAAGUGCCUGAAGUCCGUCACCGUAAGGAGCGGCCUAGGGUAAAGUCGAUAACUAGGGCUA